rfam:Myotis brandtii contig283188, whole genome shotgun sequence.
GCCAGUGUUGCUAAAUGGUUAGAGUGUUGGCCCUCACACCAAAGGGUCAAGGGUUCGAUUCCCGUCAAGGGCA